rnacentral:rRNA from 1 species
GGGGAAUAUUGCACAAUGGGCGAAAGCCUGAUGCAGCAACGCCGCGUGAGUGAUGAAGGUCUUCGGAUUGUAAAGCUCUGUCUUUUGGGACGAUAAUGACGGUACCAAAGGAGGAAGCCACGGCUAACUACGUGCCAGCAGCCGCGGUAAUACGUAGGUGGCGAGCGUUGUCCGGAUUUACUGGGCGUAAAGGGUGCGUAGGCGGAUGUUUAAGUGAGAUGUGAAAUACCCGGGCUUAACUUGGGUGCUGCAUUUCAAACUGGAUAUCUAGAGUGCAGGAGAGGAGAAUGGAAUUCCUAGUGUAGCGGUGAAAUGCGUAGAGAUUAGGAAGAACACCAGUGGCGAAGGCGAUUCUCUGGACUGUAACUGACGCUGAGGCACGAAAGCGUGGGUAGCAAACAGGAUUAGAUACCCUGGUAGUCCACGCCGUAAAACGAUGAGUACUAGGUGUAGGAGGUAUCGACCCCUUCUGUGCCGCAGUAAACACAUUAAAGUACUCCGCCUGGGAAGUACGAUCGCAAGAUUAAAACUCUAAAGUGAA